rnacentral:ncRNA from 2 species
AAAGUUUGUGAUCUCCGAGCGGUUAAGCCUACGGGUUUAUGCCUAUGGUUUUUCCGCCGAUAGGGUGUAGGCGGAAACGCUUGCGCCUCCCGUGUUUGGAAAGGAGGUAAUUUAGCUAUUUUA